rnacentral:rRNA from 1 species
UAUGUAGGUGGCAAGCGUUGUCCGGAUUUAUUGGGUUUAAAGGGUGCGUAGGCGGCCUUAUAAGUCAGUGGUGAAAUACUCCAGCUUAACUGGAGGGGUGCCAUUGAUACUGCAAGGCUUGAGUGGAGUCGAGGUAGGCGGAAUUGACGGUGUAGCGGUGAAAUGCUUAGAUAUCGUCAAGAACACCGAUAGUGUAGACAGCUUACUAGGCUCAUACUGACGCUGAGGCACGAAAGUGUGGGGAUCAAACAGG